rnacentral:rRNA from 1 species
UACGAAGGGGGCUAGCGUUGUUCGGAAUUACUGGGCGUAAAGCGCGCGCAGGCGGUCUUCCAAGUCAGUGGUGAAAGCCUGGAGCUCAACUCCAGAACUGCCAUUGAAACUGUGAAACUUGAGGAUGAGAGAGGUGAGUGGAAUUCCCAGUGUAGAGGUGAAAUUCGUAGAUAUUGGGAAGAACACCGGUGGCGAAGGCGGCUCACUGGCUCAUUUCUGACGCUCAGGCGCGACAGCGUGGGGAUCAAACAGG